CGCCUCUUGCAAAAUGAAUGAAUAAGAGGUCCCGCCUGCCCUGUGACUAUAUGUUUAACGGCCGCGGUAUUUUGACCGUGCGAAGGUAGCGCAAUCACUUGUCUUUUAAAUGAAGACCUGUAUGAAUGGCACCACGAGGGCUUAACUGUCUCCCUCUCCCAGUCAAUGAAAUUGAUUUCCCCGUGCAGAAGCGGGGAUAAAAACAUAAGACGAGAAGACCCUAUGGAGCUUAAGACGCCAGAACAGCUCAUGUUAAACACUCCAAAACAAAGGAAAUAAACUAAAUGAAGCCCUGCUCUAGUGUUUUUGGUUGGGGCGACCACGGGGAAAAACUUAACCCCCAUGCGGAAUAGGAAUACUAUUUUCCCAAACUCAAGAGCUUCCGCUCUAAUGAACAGAACUUUCUGACCAAAAGGAUCCGGCAAUGCCGAUCAACGGACAGAGUUACCCUAGGGAUAACAGCGCAAUCCUCUUAAAGAGUCCCUAUCGACAAGGGGGUUUACGACCUCGAUGUUGGAUCAGGACAUCCUAAUGGUGCAGCCGCUAUUAAGGG
rnacentral:rRNA from 1 species